GGCUCCUUGGUGUAGCGGUUAACACGCCUGCCUGUCACGCAGGAGAUCGCGGGUUCGAUUCCCGUAGGAGUCA
rnacentral:tRNA from 1 species